rnacentral:lncRNA from 1 species
GAUGGGUGAUGUAUCGAAAGGUGACAUGAUAGUGACGGUUGAUUGAGAGGGUUAGAAUUGAUGGUGGAUGGUGAUGAUGAAGGUGAUGAUAGUGAUGUUGAUGGAGGUGAUGAUGGUGAUGGUGAUGAUAGUGAUGUUGAUGGAGGUGAUGAUGGUGAUGGUGAUGAUAGUGAUGUUGAUGGAGGUGAUGUUGGUGAUGGUGAUGAUAGUGAUUUGAUGGAGGUGAUGAUGGUGAUGGUGAUGAUGUUACUGCCUCUCCCCGGGUGAGCUGAUUGCUGGGACAGCCAAGGCCCGGCGACUGUGCCUUUCCUGUGCAAAUGCACCAAGCCCAUGGCUGCA